UGAUUUCCUGAACAAACACAGAGGAGGAGACAUGAAAGUGAAAGCGUUUCACUUCCUUCUGACUCCAUUUUGUGUGACAGCAGAAGAACGAGGACUGAAAGCUGAACGAGGUGAAGGUAGAAAGUGUGUGUAAGCUGAUGUGAAUUCAGCAGCAUGGAUCAGCGUGAGGACGGAGAGGAGGGAGUCCCUCCCUCUAAAACCACUCUGUGUGGGGAACAUGAGAGCCAGAGCAAAGAUCAGAGGAACACACCUGGACCUGGACCUGGACCUGGACCCAGCUGUGUGUCCUUUAAGAGCAACAUGUCAAAGGAUUUUGUUAUUGACUUCAAACAAAGAGUUUCCUCCAA